UCCAGCACACCAAUACCACAUGGGAAACACUCCACUAUCCACCACAGAGGCAGAGAAAGACCUGGGAGUGUAUUUUACCAGGCUACCAGUGAAGGGAUAUCCAGCACACCAAUACCACAUGGGAAACACUCCACUAUCCACCACAGAGGCAGAGAAAGACCUGGGAGUGUAUGUUACCAGGCUACCAGUGAAGGGAUAUCCAGCACACCAAUACCACAUGGGAAACACUCCACUAUCCACCACAGAGGCAGAGAAAGACCUGGGAGUGUAUGUUACCAGGCUACCAGUGAAGGGAUAUCCAGCACACCAAUACCACAUGGGAAACACUCCACUAUCCA